rnacentral:rRNA from 1 species
AAAACAUGUCUUUUAGAUUAUAAUUUAAAGUCGGUCCUGCUCUAUGAUAUUUAUUAAAUGGCUGCAGUAUUUUAACUGUACUAAGGUAGCAUAAUCAAUUGUCUUUUUAUUGAAGGCUAGAAUGAAGGGAUUGAUGAAAUAUAUACUGUUUCAAUUUUAUUAAAUUAAUUUAGAUUUUAAGUUAAAAUGCUUAAAUUUUUUUUAGGGACGAUAAGACCCUGUAGAAUUUUAUAUAAAUAUCUAAUUUAAUAUUAAAUAUUUAUAUUUUAUUGGGAGAAUUUUUAAAUGUAUAAAAUUUUAAAUUAUUUAUAAUUUAAUUAAAUUUAUAACAAUUAUAAUUGAUAAUUUAAAUGAUAUAUUAAAUUUUUAUUUUAGAUUAAAUUACCUCAGGGAUAACAGCGUAAUAUUUUUUGAUAGUUCAUAUUGAUAAAAAUGAUUGCGACCUCGAUGUUGAAUUAAGAAAAAUUUUAAACGUAGAAGUUUAAUAAUUAAGUCUGUUCGACUUUUAUAAUCUUACGUGAUCUGAGUUCA